rnacentral:rRNA from 2 species
UACGGAGGGUGCAAGCGUUGUUCGGAAUUACUGGGCGUAAAGCGCGUGUAGGCGGCCUUGCAAGUCAGAUGUGAAAGCCCUCGGCUUAACCGGGGAAGUGCAUCUGAAACUGCUUGGCUUGAGUACCGGAGAGGGAGGCGGAAUUCCCAGUGUAGAGGUGAAAUUCGUAGAUAUUGGGAGGAACACCGGUGGCGAAAGCGGCCUCCUGGACGGAUACUGACGCUAAGACGCGAAAGCGUGGGUAGCAAACAGG